rnacentral:rRNA from 1 species
UACGAAGGGGGCUAGCGUUGCUCGGAAUCACUGGGCGUAAAGCGCACGUAGGCGGCUUUUUAAGUCAGGGGUGAAAUCCUGGAGCUCAACUCCAGAACUGCCUUUGAUACUGAGAAGCUUGAGUCCGGGGGAGGUGAGUGGAACUGCGAGUGUAGAGGUGAAAUUCGUAGAUAUUCGCAAGAACACCAGUGGCGAAGGCGGCUAACUGGUCCGGUUCUGACGCUGAGGCGCGAAAGCGUGGGGAGCAAACAGG